ACGGAAGGCAGCAGUGGGGAAUAUUGGACAAUGGGGGAAACCCUGAUCCAGCGACGCCGCGUGAGUGAAGAAGUAUUUCGGUAUGUAAAGCUCUAUCAGCAAGGAAGAAAAUGACGGUACUUGACUAAGAAGCUCCGGCUAAAUACGUGCCAGCAGCCGCGGUAAUACGGAGGAUCCGAGCGUUAUCCGGAUUUAUUGGGUUUAAAGGGUGCGCAGGCGGCUUUUUAAGUCAGUGGUUAAAUCGUGACGCUCAACGUCAUCACGCCAUUGAUACUGGAGAGCUUGAUUGCGGUCGAGGUUUGCGGAAUUCGUUGUGUAGCGGUGAAAUGCAUAGAUAUGACGAAGAACACCGAUUGCGUAGGCAGCAGACCAGGCCGUAAAUGACGCUCAUGCACGAAAGUGCGGGGAUCGAACAGGAUUAGAUACCCUGGUA
rnacentral:rRNA from 1 species